rnacentral:misc_RNA from 1 species
AAGGAUCAUUAACGAAUAACUAUGGUGUCUUGGUUGUAGCUGGCUCCUCGGAGCAAUGUGCACGCCCGCCAUUUUUAUCUUUCCACCUGUGCACCGACUGUAGGUCUGGAUGACUCUCGCACUCUGGUGCGGAUGCGAGGAUUGCUCUCGGGCUCUCCUCGAAUUUCCAGGCUCUACGUCUUUUUAUACACCCCAAAUGUAUGAUACAGAAUGUAGUCAAUGGGCUUGAUCGCCUAUAAAACACUAUACAACUUUCAGCAACGGAUCUCUUGGCUCUC